UACGAAGGGGGCUAGCGUUGCUCGGAAUGACUGGGCGUAAAGGGCGCGUAGGCGGCUUGCACCGUCAGAUGUGAAAUUCCUGGGCUUAACCUGGGGGCUGCAUUUGAUACGUGUGGGCUUGAGUGCGGAAGAGGGUCGUGGAAUUCCCAGUGUAGAGGUGAAAUGCGUAGAUAUCGGAAGGAACACCUGUGGCGAAAGCGGCUCACUGGACCAUUACUGACGCUGAUGCACGAAAGCUAGGGGAGCAAACAGG
rnacentral:rRNA from 1 species